ACUUUCCCAAACCACCCUCCCCCUUGUAGGGCAAAAGUCAGCCAAGACGUUCCUCUAAAGCGAUGCACGUUAUCAAACGUGGUUUUGACCCAGUGUGUUCUUCACCCCGUUCCCGGCUCCAGAACCUUCAGAACGUCUACACUGCCCCCUGGUGGCUGAAUGUUGUUAUUGGCUGGGAAUGCUAUGAGGUGAGCUUCCCUCAGAGGACUCCAGCAGUGAACCAAGGGCUAUCUGAAGCUACAGAGCAGCGACAUGGUGUCUGCACAUUCAUCUGGACAGCCUCCACCUCAGCACGGAGCCUGUUGACUUCCACUGGCUUGCCUUACAGAUUUUGAAUCUGAGAAUGCUUCUUAGGAGUCUCAAUGGUGGCUUGCACAGAGAAGAAAGAUCUGGGUAUUAAGCCCCAGGAAAUUGUAUCCACAAAAAGCAUCAGGCAGAUUCAAGCAAACACUGAAGCAGGAGCAACGUGCCCGGAGAUGCGUGUUUCCCAGUCUCGUGACGAGGAAAUCAUAAGCAAAAGAACUUCACAUCACAAGUCCUGAAAGUUGAAACCAAAUAAAAAUAAAGUCUGUUCAACAGGAUGUGAACUGAGAACUUCCAGAUGUACAAGCUGGAUUUAGAAAAGGCAGAGGAACCAGAGAUCAAAUUGCCGACAUUCGAUGGAUCAUAGAAAAAGCAAGGGAAUUCCAGAAAAACAUCUACUUCUGCUUCAUUGACUAUGCUAAAGCAUUUGACUGUGUGGAUCACAACACACUGUGGAAAAUUCUUCAAGAGAUGGGAAUACCAGACCACUAUACCUGCCUCUGAGAAACCUGUAUGCAGGGCAAGAAGCAACAAUUAGAACCUUACUUGGAACAAAGUAUGGGUUAAAUUCAGAAAGGAGUGAGUCAAUGCUGUAUAGUCACCCUGCUUAUUUAACUUAUAUGCAGAGUACAUCAUGAGAAAUGCCAGGCGGGAUGAAUCAUAAGCUGGAAUCAAGAUUGCCGGGAGCAAUAUCAAUAACCUCAGAUAUGCAGAUGACACCACCCUAGUAGUAGAAAGUGAAGAGAAACUAAAGAGCCUCAUGAUGAAGGUGAAAGAGGAGAGUGAAAAGGCUGGCUUAAAACUCAACUUUCAAAAAACUAAAAUCAUGGCAUCCAGUCCCAUCACUUCAUGACAAAUACAUGGGGGGAAAAUGGAAGCAGUGACAAACUUUAUUUUCUUGGGCUCCAAAAUCACUGCAGACAGUGGCUGUAGCCAUGCAAUUAGAAGACAUUUGCUUCUUGGUAGAAAAGCUAUGACAAACCUAGACAGCAUAUUAUAAAGCAGAGACAUUACUUUGCUGACAAAGGUCUGUAUAUUCAAAGCUAUGGCUUUUCCAGUAGUCAUGUGUGGAUGUGAGAGUUGGACCAUAAAGAAGGCUGAACACCGAAGAAGUGAUGCUUUUGAAUUGUGGUGCUAGAGAAGACUCUUGAGAGUCCCUUGAGCAGUAAGGAGAUCAAACCGGUCAAUCCUAAAGGAAAUCAGUCCUGAAUAUUCAUUGGAAGGACUGAUGCUAAAGCUCCAAUACUUUGAACACCUGAUCCAAAGAGCCGACUUAUUGGAAAACACCCUGAUGCUGGGAAAGAUGGAAGGCAGGAGGAGAAAGGGCAACAGAGAAUGUGAAGGUUGGAUGGCAUCAUUGAUCCAAUGGACAUGAGUUUGAGCAAACUCUAGGAGAUAGCGAAGGACAGGAAAUCCUGGAGUGCUGCAGUCCACAGGGUUGCAAAGAAUCAGACAUUAUUGAGUGACUGAACAACAAUGUGUGUAUGUCUGUAUGUUUGUGUGUGUGUGUGUGUGUGUGCACCCGAGCUUAGUCAUAUCUGAUACUUCGAAACCCCAUAGACUGUAUCCAACCAGGCUCCUCUGUCCAGGGAAUUUUCCAAGCAAGAAUACUGGAUCUGGUUGCCAUUUCCUUCUCCAGGGGAUCUUCUGGAUCCAGGGAUUAAACCCAAUCUCUUACAUCUCCUGUACUGGCAAGCGGACUUUUUACCACUGCACCAUCUGGGAAGCCAGUAUUUAUAUGGCCAUCUCAUUCUUAUCUCCAUCGAUCAUCACAAUGUUGGAGAGAGAGGAGCAAUGCAACCCUCAUCUGUGCGGGCAAAGAAAUCAAGGCUCCCCCUCACGGUGUCCAGUUCCCUCGUCCCUCAAGGUGCGGCAUCCCCUCCCAGAACCCAUCGGACUGUGCAGGUCACUGUAAGCCUGUUGCUGAGACCCGGCUGAGACGCAAGUAGAUCUUCUGUUGCUGUUGUUCAGUCGCUCAGUCGUGCCCAGCUCUUUGCAAGCUCAUGGACUGGCAGUGCCCCAGGUUUCCCUGUCAUACACUGUCUCCCAGAGUUUGCUCAAACUCAUGUCCAUUGAGUCAUUGGGGCCAUCCAGCCAUCUCAUCCUCUGUCGUCCCCUUCUCCUCCUGCCAUCCAUCUUUCCCAGCAUCUGGGUCUUUUCCAGUGAAUCAGCUCUUUGAAUCAGGUGGCCAAAGUAUUGGAGCUUCAGCUUCAGCAUCAGUCUUUCCAAUGAAUAUUCAGGGUUGAUUUCCUUUAGGAUUGACUGGUUUGAUCUCCUGGCAGUCCAAGAGACUCUCAAGAGGCUUCUCCAACACCACAGUUCAAAACCAUCAAUUAUUCGGUGCUCAGCCUUUUUUAUUGUCUAACUCUCACAUCUGUACAUGACUACUGGAAAAACCAUAUCUUUGACUUGACGGACUUUGUCUUUGUGUAAUCGCCUCUCUUUGUGGGAACAACUGAGAAAGUAGAGUUUGCAUGUCUCCUUAGAUACACACAGGCAUGGCCACUGUCCCUUCUUUCUGGGGAGGCAGCUAGGUGGGCUGGGC
ensembl:lncRNA